AUGGGAUGGUCGGAAGUCAUAGGCAACGACGUCGCCACCGCCACACCGGCAGCGCGCAACCGUGUUGAUAGACGGGGUGAAUGGGGCCAAAGAACCACGGCCACCGGUGGUGACUCUUCAAAAUCUGCAAUCGGUGGCCGCUUCCAGCGACUCGACGAGAUCGGUGCAGGGGGCUUCGGUGUGGUUUACCGGGCGAGGGACCGCCACACUGGCGAGAUCGUCGCCAUCAAGUGCCUCCGCACAAACAAGUACGCCCACGACGACAGCGGCGACUGCUACCUCUCCGCCUUUGCAGGAGAGGUCAGCGCCUUGGAGAAGUGCAGCGGCCACCCGUCCAUCGUGCAGCUGCGCGCCUCGGGUGAGCAUGACGGCGAGGCCUUCAUCGCCAUGGAGUUCGUCGGGCAGACCCUCAGGCACGUCAUGAAGCGCGUCCGUUUCGGGAGGAGACACACCGAGAUGGAGGUCUGCGUGAUGAUGAGGCAGCUCCUCACCGGCGUGGGGAGGAUGAACCGUCUAGGUCUCAUGCAUCGUGACCUUAAGCCGGGGAAUGUGCUCGUCGACGACCGCAAGAACCUCAAGAUCUGUGACCUUGGGCUAUCAUGCAGCAUGGCCGAUGGGCCGCCCUACUCAAACCACAUCGGAACACGGGGUUACCGCGCACCAGAGCUCCUCCUAGGAUCCACGAAUUACGACGAGCGCAUCGACUCUUGGUCUCUUGGCGUCAUGAUGGCUGAGCUACUUGCUGGUCACCACCCUUUCUAUGGGAAGACCGACAUGGACCACCUCAGCGAGAUUUUGGACCUUCUUGGUACAGCAGACAUCAAAGAGUGGCCGGGCUAUGAUGGGCGGCAGCUGCCCGGCGGAUGGUCAUUGCAUAGCAGUUUGCGCUCCAUGUUCCCAUGCCCUGCCGAUGCUAGGAGAAGAUGCCGCCCCCAACUUUCAGAAGCUGGUUUUGAGGUCUUGAGCGGACUACUGCGAUGCAACCCUGAAAAGAGACUCACGGCGAGGGCCGCGCUGCGGCAUAGGUGGUUUAAAGAGACCAACUUCAGGGCUGCAAAGAGCUGA
rnacentral:rRNA from 1 species